CAGUUGGAAACGACUGCUAAUACCGCAUACGAUCUAAUCUCGGCAUCGAGGAUAGAUGAAAGGUGGCCUCUACAUGUAAGCUAUCACUGAAGGAGGGGAUUGCGUCUGAUUAGCUAGUUGGAGGGGUAACGGCCCACCAAGGCGAUGAUCAGUAGCCGGUCUGAGAGGAUGAACGGCCACAUUGGGACUGAGACACGGCCCAGACUCCUACGGGAGGCAGCAUG
rnacentral:rRNA from 1 species